GGAAUUUUGGACAAUGGACGAAAGUCUGAUCCAGCAAUGCCGCGUGCAGGACGAAGGCCUUCGGGUUGUAAACUGCUUUUGUACGGAACGAAACGGUCUGCUUUAAUACAGUGGGCUAAUGACGGUACCGUAAGAAUAAGCACCGGCUAACUACGUGCCAGCAGCCGCGGUAAUACGUAGGGUGCGAGCGUUAAUCGGAAUUACUGGGCGUAAAGCGUGCGCAGGCGGUUAUAUAAGUCAGAUGUGAAAUCCCCGGGCUCAACCUGGGACCUGCAUUUGAGACUGUAUAGCUAGAGUACGGUAGAGGGGGAUGGAAUUCCGCGUGUAGCAGUGAAAUGCGUAGAUAUGCGGAGGAACACCGAUGGCGAAGGCAAUCCCCUGGACCUGUACUGACGCUCAUGCACGAAAGCGUGGGGAGCAAACAGGAUUAGAUACCCCGG
rnacentral:rRNA from 1 species